rnacentral:rRNA from 1 species
GAGUUUGAUCUUGGCUCAGAUUGAACGCUGGCGGCAUGCCUUACACAUGCAAGUCGAACGGCAGCAUGAUCUAGCUUGCUAGAUUGAUGGCGAGUGGCGAACGGGUGAGUAGUACAUCGGAACGUGCCCUGUAGUGGGGGAUAACUAGUCGAAAGAUUAGCUAAUACCGCAUACGACCUGAGGGUGAAAGUGGGGGACCGCAAGGCCUCAUGCUAUAGGAGCGGCCGAUGUCUGAUUAGCUAGUUGGUGGGGUAAAGGCCCACCAAGGCGACGAUCAGUAGCUGGUCUGAGAGGACGAUCAGCCACACUGGGACUGAGACACGGCCCAGACUCCUACGGGAGGCAGCAGUGGGGAAUUUUGGACAAUGGGCGAAAGCCUGAUCCAGCAAUGCCGCGUGUGUG